ensembl:processed_transcript Gm20544 predicted gene 20544
GUUACUGCCACCCUCUCCCAGGUCUAGAGAGGGGUACCCACGGUGGAGGGAGGUGGGAGGCCGAGACGGCCCCGGGGGUCGGCGGAGACCCAGCGGGAGCAGGGGGAAAUCGGAAGAGCUGGGGGCAUGGAGCGGGCGAGUUUGGAGCGGAAUGAGCCGGGAGCCCUACGUUGUGGAAGGAAGACAACAGUAUAGGACCAUCAGCAGGACCGGACAGAGAGGGGCACGUAAGCAGUAAUUACUGGAUGGCAUAGUAAUUCUACUAAAAAUUAAAAUGCCACUUAUUGGAAUGGUGUGUGAACACUCUAAAGCAACCCGGGAAGAAGACAGCAGUCAAGAAGACCAAGGAAGGAAAUGGAGGAGGGAUGACCCCACCAUUACAGGCAGGGAAGGACUGACCAAAGAGACAGAAAUGUAGUCUAGGAAAUGUGUCAUCUUAGAAAGGAACGGGAAGGGGCUGGAGAGGUGGCUCAGAAGUAAAGAGCAGUGGAUGCUCUUUCAGGGGACCUGAGUUGGCCUCCUAAUGUCUUCAGGUACCUCCUAACUGCAUGUAACUCCAGCUCCGGGAGAUUCUGGAUUCUUCUGGUCUCCACGGCACUGCGUUCACGCGCACGCGCGCGCACACACACACACACACACACACACAAAUUAAUCUUAGAAAAGCAUAGGAAGCCUGAUUUUUUG